UGGGGAAUAUUGCACAAUGGGGGAAACCCUGAUGCAGCGACGCCGCGUGAGCGAUGAAGGCUUUCGAGUCGUAAAGCUCUGUCCUAUGGGAAGAUAAUGACGGUACCAUAGAAGAAAGCCCCGGCUAAUUACGUGCCAGCAGCCGCGGUAAUACGUAAGGGGCGAGCGUUAUCCGGAUUUACUGGGCGUAAAGGGUGCGUAGGUGGUCUUUCAAGUCGGUGGUUAAAGGCUACGGCUCAACCGUAGUUAGCCUCCGAAACUGGAAGACUUGAGUGCAGGAGAGGAAAGAGGAAUUCCCAGUGUAGCGGUGAAAUGCGUAGAUAUUGGGAGGAACACCAGUAGCGAAGGCGGCUUUCUGGACUGCAACUGACACUGAGGCACGAAAGCGUGGGUAGCAAACAGG
rnacentral:rRNA from 1 species